GCGGCCGCCGCCGCGGCACUGCUACGGGACGAGCCGGAGCGCUUGGCCAUGGCGGCCCGAUCCGCACUGGCGCUGCUGCUGCUGCUGCCAGUCCUGCUCCUGCCGGUGCAGAGCCGCUCAGAGCCCGAGACCACCGCGCCCACCCCUACCCCAAUCCCGGGUGGCAACUCGUCAGUGAGCAGGCCCCUGCCCAGCAUCGAGCUCCACGCCUGCGGCCCAUACCCCAAACCAGGCCUGCUCAUCCUGCUGGCCCCGCUGGCCCUGUGGCCCAUUCUCCUGUAGGGACGCCCAGCCAGCCACCUCUAAGUCGCCGCUGGGACUGGCCUGCCCCAUUGAGCAACAGAGACGCUUGACAGCCGCCCGCCUCCAUUCCUUGACUUCACCCAGAAAUGGGUCCAGAAAACUGAAUCCCACCAGCACUGGUUUGGAGCAACCGGACACCGAGGUUUCACCUCCAGGGAUUCCAUGAAGAGCCUCAAUGGAGAUGCCACAUCCUACUGAGUUAAAGAUGGGCUGAGGAACUUGGGUACCCACAAGUCUGCCUUGGGAAUCAAAAGAAAAUAUUUACCUUUAGUUUGGUUCAUUAAAUGCAUGAAGUCAAAAUAUGA
rnacentral:lncRNA from 1 species